GCUUCCAGGAAAAGCCUCUAAGCAUCAGGUAACAUCAAAUCGUACCCCAAACCGACACAGGUGGUCAGGUAGAGAAUACCAAGGCGCUUGAGAGAACUCGGGUGAAGGAACUAGGCAAAAUGGUGCCGUAACUUCGGGAGAAGGCACGCUGACACGUAGGUGAAGUGAUUUACUCACGGAGCUGAAGUCAGUCGAAGAUACCAGCUGGCUGCAACUGUUUAUUAAAAACACAGCACUGUGCAAACACGAAAGUGGACGUAUACGGUGUGACGCCUGCCCGGUGCCGGAAGGUUAAUUGAUGGGGUCAGCGCAAGCGAAGCUCCUGAUCGAAGCCCCGGUAAACGGCGGCCGUA
rnacentral:rRNA from 2 species